rnacentral:rRNA from 1 species
CCUACGGGAGGCAGCAGUGGGGAAUAUUGCACAAUGGGCGAAAGCCUGAUGCAGCAACGCCGCGUGAGCGAUGAAGGUUUUCGGAUCGUAAAGCUCUGUCGCAUGGGAAGAUAAUGACGGUACCAUGUGAGGAAGCCCCGGCUAACUACGUGCCAGCAGCCGCGGUAAU